AUUGAACGCUGGCGGCAUGCUUUACACAUGCAAGUCGAACGGCAGCGCGGGCUUCGGCCUGGCAGCGAGUGGCGAACGGGUGAGUAAUACAUCGGAACGUGCCCAGUAGUGGGGGAUAGCUCGGCGAAAGCCGGAUUAAUACCGCAUACGACCUGAGGGUGAAAGCGGGGGAUCUUCGGACCUCGCGCUAUUGGAGCGGCCGAUGGCAGAUUAGCUAGUUGGUGGGGUAAAGGCCUACCAAGGCGACGAUCUGUAGCUGGUCUGAGAGGACGACCAGCCACACUGGGACUGAGACACGGCCCAGACUCCUACGGGAGGCAGCAGUGGGGAAUUUUGGACAAUGGGCGAAAGCCUGAUCCAGCAAUGCCGCGUGUGUGAUGAAGGCCUUCGGGUUGUAAAGCACUUUUGGCGGGAACGAAAAGGACUGUGCCAAUACCACGGUUCGAUGACGGUACCCGCAGAAUAAGCACCGGCUAACUACGUGCCAGCCGCCGCCGUAA
rnacentral:rRNA from 1 species